rnacentral:rRNA from 1 species
UACGUAGGGGGCAAGCGUUAUCCGGAAUUGCUGGGUGUAAAGGGUGAGUAGGCGGCAUGGUAAGCCAGAUGUGAAAGCCUUGGGCUUAACCCGAGGAUUGCAUUUGGAACUAUCAAGCUAGAGUACAGGAGAGGAAAGCGGAAUUCCUAGUGUAGCGGUGAAAUGCGUAGAUAUUAGGAAGAACACCAGUGGCGAAGGCGGCUUUCUGGACUGAAACUGACGCUGAGGCACGAAAGCGUGGGGAGCGAACAGG